rnacentral:rRNA from 1 species
UACGGGGGGGGCAAGCGUUGUUCGGAAUUACUGGGCGUAAAGGGCGCGUAGGCGGCCUGCUAAGUCGGAUGUGAAAUCCCUCGGCUCAACCGAGGAACUGCAUCCGAUACUGGCGGGCUUGAAUCCGGGAGAGGGAAGUGGAAUUCCCGGUGUAGUGGUGAAAUGCGUAGAUAUCGGGAGGAACACCAGUGGCGAAGGCGACUUCCUGGCCUGUUCUUGACGCUGAGGCGCGAAAGCUAGGGGAGCAAACGGG